rnacentral:tRNA from 1 species
GCGACACUAGCUCAGUUGGUAGAGCGCAACCUUGCCAAGGUUGAGGUAACGAGUUCGAACCUCGUGGGUCGCUCCA